UCACUCCCACUGCUAUGCCUUUCCUUCUC
rnacentral:piRNA from 1 species